rnacentral:rRNA from 1 species
CUGGCUCAGGACGAACGCUGGCGGCGUGCCUAAUACAUGCAAGUCGAGCGAACCACUUCGGUGGUUAGCGGCGGACGGGUGAGUAACACGUGGGCAACCUGCCUGUAAGACUGGGAUAACUUCGGGAAACCGGAGCUAAUACCGGAUAAUCCUUUUCCUCUCAUGAGGAAAAGCUGAAAGACGGUUUCGGCUGUCACUUACAGAUGGGCCCGCGGCGCAUUAGCUAGUUGGUGAGGUAACGGCUCACCAAGGCGACGAUGCGUAGCCGACCUGAGAGGGUGAUCGGCCACACUGGGACUGAGACACGGCCCAGACUCCUACGGGAGGCAGCAGUAGGGAAUCUUCCACAAUGGACGAAAGUCUGAUGGAGCAACGCCGCGUGAGCGAUGAAGGCCUUCGGGUCGUAAAGCUMUGUUGUUAGGGAAGAACAAGUACCGGAGUAACUGCC